GAUGAACGCUGGCGGCGUGCCUAACACAUGCAAGUCGAACGAGAUGCGUAUUGGAAAGCUUCGGCCGGAAGAUGCGUUAUCUAGUGGCGGACGGGUGAGUAACACGUGGGUAACCUGCCUUAUGGAGGGGGAUAACAGAGAGAAAUCACUGCUAAUACCGCAUAAGCACACAUUGCCGCAUGGCAGAGUGUGAAAAGAUUUAUCGCGAUAAGAUGGACCCGCGUCUGAUUAGCCAGUUGGCAGGGUAAAAGCCUACCAAAGCAACGAUCAGUAGCCGAUAAGAGAGGAUGACCGGCCACAUUGGGACUGAGACGCGGCCCAAACUCCUACGGGAGGCAGCAGUGGGGAAUAUUGCACAAUGGGGGAAACCCUGAUGCAGCGACGCCGCGUGAGUGAAGAAGUAUUUCGGUAUGUAAAGCUCUAUCAGCAGGGAAGAUAAUGACAGUACCUGACUAAGAAGCCCCGGCUAACUACGUG
rnacentral:rRNA from 1 species